rnacentral:sRNA from 1 species
GGCCAAUAGAUAAAUACUGCAGAUUCUGU